GGGUUCGGUCUUCUUCGGUUAAGCUCGGGUAUUUCCGUUUGUGAAGGUGACUAUUCGGCGGUCCAGCGGGUACUUCCUGGGAUGCGCACCCAGCAGAGCAGGAAGCGGAUCCUUGGUGGUCUGUGAGGCAGGAGAGAAGAACACUGAAAAUUAUGGGGACCUGAAGGAAUAGCGUCUCUGACCCUGGAGCCUGGAGAAGCAAGAAUGCCAGUACAGUUAACAGUUGCUUAAAGGUUUUUCUCCCUUCUCAGCUGUAAACCUGCAAUGUUCUAGGAAUCUCACCAGAAAUUCCAUUUACAGGGAAAGGAUGUGUACUGAACCUGAACAAUUCUAGUAGCUUCUGGUUUUACCUUAUGAGAUUACAGUUCCAUCCAAGGCAUCUCUGGAGCCAGACUCCAAUCUUUUAUUUUUUUAUUUUAUUUUAUUUUUUGGUUUUUUGAGACAGGGUUUCUCUGUGUAGCUUUGCGCCUUUCCUGGAACUCACUCUGUAGCCCAGGCUGGCCUCGAACUCACAGAGAUCCACCUGGCUCUGCCUCCCAAGUGCUGGGAUUAAAGGCGUGCACCAUCACCGCCCAGCAGGAAACAGGUUUCUUAGCAACUCUUUGAAGUGUAGCUUGAGAAUCACCAAAAAGGUAUUAUAUGUGGCUAAUGCUAAGACAAUUGAGACUCUUCCUUGAGGAUCCCAUAUCCACUGCUUCCCCCAUUCUUCCAUGGGAGACAUAUACCCACACUUGGUUAAGUCUUUUUUGAGCACUUCUCUCAUGCCUAAAGAUGAUAUUAAAGUAUCUUUAAUAAAAUCUCCAACUUUGCUUCA